UUCACCUGACCACUCAGUUGCAAACCCACCACUUUUUUUUCUUCACCUGAUUGCUCAUUACUACUCUCAUGUGUUUCUUUUUCACCAAUCAACUGCUCAUUUCUUAAAGGCAUCACAAUUUCCAAAGGUACAUGACCAAGAGCCUUAGUUGCUUGUUCAUCUCUGUUUGCUUUCUUAGCUAGCUUUCCAAGGCAAAAGACCUCGGGAUCACUAUUAUUUACAUUUCCAAAGAGUCAAUCCUGACACGAGAGAUGCCGAAGCUGGUUUGAAAGAUGUUUGCAAGUUUAGCAGUGUGAGGUGCUCUAGUGUGUAAUCGGAGAACUUUUUGAGAUGUGAUGAAUGCUUAAGUUGACAAGAAGUUGAGCAAACAUUCUUUAUAGUCAAGCUACUAAGAAGCCUGGUUAUAGUUUCACAUGUCUGACAAAA